rnacentral:rRNA from 1 species
UACGGGGGGUGCAAGCGUUAUUCGGAAUCACUGGGCGUAAAGCGCGCGCAGGCGGCCGUUUAAGUCAGAUGUGAAAGCCCGGGGCUCAACCCCGGAAGUGCAUUUGAUACUAUUCGGCUUGAGUAUGGGAGAGGGAAGUGGAAUUCCUGGUGUAGAGGUGAAAUUCGUAGAUAUCAGGAGGAACACCGGUGGCGAAGGCGCCUUCCUGGACCAAUACUGACGCUGAGGCGCGAGGGCGUGGGGAGCAAACAGG